CUCCCCAUCAGCGCUUACCCCCCUCUCCAUGCUAACAUCCACUCCAUUAACACCGGUGAAACCACCACCCCACUCCCCCUCCAUAUCUGUAGUCGACAAACCAAAAACCACCACUACCCACCUUCCCAUUCCUCUAAUCAGAACAAAAAAGUUCUCAAUUGCAAUGUGUGAAUCAUCCUUAGGUGUAUUAAUGGGGGUGGGUUGUUGCAAACUCACAAAGGAUGGGGGUGACAAUUUAAGAUUAGCAACUAUUGAGUUAGUUGUGGGUGGAGGUUUGGCGGCAACAGUAGAGCUAGAUGAGAAGUGGUAGUGGCCCUACUUGGCGGAGGGGGCAACAUUGAAGACUUCUGGGGUAUGUAGCAAUGGAGUCAUCAAGUCAUGCCUUCAUGGAAGUGAAGCUAAAGAAAGGGAGAUGGAAGACAAUUUUUUUAGUUGCAGAAAUCAAUUGGAAAAUUUUCAGUGUAGUUACUCAUUUUGGAGUUUUCAUAUCUGGUGUAGUGGUGCUAUUCUUUCUCUCUUUAUUUAUAUGCUUUUUUACUUGAUUAUGCUAUUAUAUUAUGAUUAGGGGUGUUUAAUGGGUGGCCUUCAUUUUGAGUCUUUAUCCAACCCGUUUCUAAAAGGGCUUUGUAAGGGUCAGAUCGAAAAUGGACCGAGUCGAAAACGGGCUAUAUUUUAUGUAAAAUAAGCGGGCUAUAAAAGGGCUCAAUAAGGGUUGAAAAUGGGCCUUUGUAAAUAGUAUAAUUAAUGUAUAAUUUAAAUAUUAUGUCAAUGAAAUUAUUAAUAUUUUUUCAAUUUUUUUAUUAUAAAUGAUAAUCUAAUUGUUAUAAAUUGAUAAAUGGGGAUUAAAAUUAUUUUUAGUAGUGAAAAUGGGCCAGAUUGGGCCGAGACGGCCUUUAAAGCCCGACACAUUUAAAGCCCAUAUUAAUUUUAAAAGACCCUUAUCCGACCCAUU